rnacentral:rRNA from 1 species
CAGCACCUCAAGUGGUCAGGAUGAUUAUUGGGCCUAAAGCAUCCGUAGCCGGCUCUGUAAGUUUUCGGUUAAAUCUGUACGCUCAACGUACAGGCUGCCGGGAAUACUGCAGAGCUAGGGAGUGGGAGAGGUAGACGGUACUCGGUAGGAAGGGGUAAAAUCCUUUGAUCUAUUGAUGACCACCUGUGGCGAAGGCAGUCUACCAGAACACGUCCGACGGUGAGGGAUGAAAGCUGGGGGAGCAAACCGGAUUAGAGACCCGAGUAGUCC